AGCGAACGCUGGCGGCAGGCUUAACACAUGCAAGUCGAACGGGCACCUUCGGGUGUCAGUGGCAGACGGGUGAGUAACACGUGGGAACGUACCCUUUGGUUCGGAACAACUCUGGGAAACUGGAGCUAAUACCGGAUACGCCCUGAUGGGGAAAGGUUUAUCCGCCGAAGGAUCGGCCCGCGUCUGAUUAGCUAGUUGGUGGGGUAACGGCCCACCAAGGCGACGAUCAGUAGCUGGUCUGAGAGGANGAUCAGCCACACUGGGACUGAGACACGGCCCAGACUCCUACGGGAGGCAGCAGUGGGGAAUAUUGGACAAUGGGCGCAAGCCUGAUCCAGCCAUGCCGCGUGAGUGAUGAAGGCCUUAGGGUU
rnacentral:rRNA from 1 species